GAGCGGUGAGGAUUUGGCUUUAGCGAUGGUUGGGUCCUUCGCACUACUCUGAUAUCUCGGAUGUGAUAUAGCCCUUUGUCUGAGCUC
rfam:Eutrema salsugineum unplaced genomic scaffold scaffold_8, whole genome shotgun sequence.